AUCAAGACUCCGUCAGGUCU
rnacentral:snRNA from 1 species